rnacentral:rRNA from 1 species
GAUGAACGCUAGCUACAGGCUUAACACAUGCAAGUCGAGGGGAAACGGCAUCGAAAGCUUGCUUUUGAUGGGCGUCGACCGGCGCACGGGCGAGUAACGCGUAUCCAACCUGCCCAUCACUUGGGAAUAACCUUGCGAAAGUAAGACUAAUGCCCAAUGACAUCCCACGAAGGCAUCCGAAUGGGAUUAAAGAUUUAUCGGUGAUGGAUGGGGAUGCGUCUGAUUAGCUUGUUGGCGGGGUGACGGCCCACCAAGGCAACGAUCAGUAGGCGUUCUGAGAGGAAGGUCCCCCACAUUGGAACUGAGACACGGUCCAAACUCCUACGGGAGGCAGCAGUGAGGAAUAUUGGGCAAUGGGCGAGAGCCUGAACCAGCCAAGUAGCGUGCAGGAGGGCGGCCCUAUGGGUUGUAAACUGCUUUUAUAAGGGAAUAAAGUGGGUCACGUGUGACUUUUUGAAUGUACCUGAUGAAUAAGGACCGGCUAAUUCCGUG